AAUAAUGUGAAUUGCAGAACACAUUGAACAUCGACACCUUGAACGCACAUGGCGGCCUCGGGUCCAUCCCGGGGCCACGCCCGUCUGAGGGUCG
rnacentral:rRNA from 2 species